GAUGAACGCUGGCGGCGUGCCUAAUACAUGCAAGUCGAGCGAACAGACGAGGAGCUUGCUCCUCUGACGUUAGCGGCGGACGGGUGAGUAACACGUGGAUAACCUACCUAUAAGACUGGGAUAACUUCGGGAAACCGGAGCUAAUACCGGAUAACAUGUUGAACCGCAUGGUUUAACAGUGAAAGACGGACUUGCUGUCACUUAUAGAUGGAUCCGCGCCGCAUUAGCUAGUUGGUAAGGUAACGGCUUACCAAGGCAACGAUGCGUAGCCGACCUGAGAGGGUGAUCGGCCACACUGGAACUGAGACACGGUCCAGACUCCUACGGGAGGCAGCAGUAGGGAAUCUUCCGCAAUGGGCGAAAGCCUGACGGAGCAACGCCGCGUGAGUGAAGAAGGUCUUCGGAUCGUAAAACUCUGUUAUUAGGGAAGAACAAAUGUGUAAGUAACUACGCACGUCUUGACGGUACCUAAUCAGAAAGCCACGGCUAACUACGUG
rnacentral:rRNA from 1 species